GUUAUAUAUACAUGAAUAUAGAUUAUAAAAAAAGAAAUGUGAAGUAUGGUAUAAUUAUUUUAUAUCGAAAAACAAUUAUAUAUAUAUAACGUAGGCUAUAAAAUUUAAAGUUUCUCUGUUACACUCUAAACCGAACUCUCAGCCGUCAGUUCCUUUCAGCUCUUCCCUCUCUCUCUUCCUCUCAUUCUCCUCACCAGCCGGCUGCAGACCCGCUGAUGGCAGCAGCUCCAGCAGCCCGUCUUCCCUCUCCUUUGUGCUUUGGAUUUGUCAACUUCUAGCUAGGAUUUCUCUUGUUUCUAUGCAUAAGAGGAGGGCGACUAGCAGAGAGAAGAAAGCUUAGAGAAAGAAGAUAAUGUCUGAAGUUGUUCCUCUCUUGAGGCAUCAGGUUCCGGUGUUAUCUACUGUGGUAAAUGGAGGAUACCUUGAUCUCAAAACUCAACACGUGGCUACCCAUUGCCAUCCUUAGUUCGAUUUUAUCGAGAAUAUGACGAGCAAAGUUCAACAAUCAGGGAUCCAUAAGGAUGAUAAGAGCCACUGCAUGCUUAGAAAGGGUUGUUUUUCUAAGAAUUUUAUUUGGGCCUAUUUAAUUUCUGGCACAUAUAAAUUAGUGAGAAUUGCAAUAUAUAUAUAU